CACCACUGUAAAGUAAAAAAAUCCUGAGUUGAACCCUCAACCAUUGUUAAGUUAGGGAUCAUCUGCAUAUGAGAACUCUAGGUAUUUUUGCUCAGUUUUACCGUGAACCUAAAACUGCUCUAAAAAAUAGUCUGUUAAAAAAAAAACUCCGGUGCUUCACCUAUUCAAUUCCCAGAUAAUCGCUCGCAACCACUGACGUUUACUGUCUCUAAGCUUUACUUUAAAACAGUAUUUACCUAUCUGCAAAGCACACUAAAUGCAAAGCACAAUUUUUUUAAAAAACCCAUCUUAAAGGGAACUAAUUUGGAAAUAACUUAUAUAAGGCAAACAGGGCUGGGGAGGGGACUCGGGAAUGUCAGGUGAUGGAUCACCAAAGAACGUUGGGCGCCUCUCUGUACUGGAUCUGUUGAAUGCCACAUUCCUGAGGAAUCUAAGAAAACUCAGUUACUUUCCUAUCUGGGACAGAAGGAAAAGUUUCGGCAUAGGAUAUAAAUUUUCUGCUAUCAAGUUAUUCUUUCUAUCAGUUAUAGUUAGCUUGCCUAGGUGCAGUUCUAAGUGUUUUUCCAAAGCAUGUUGUGAGAAUAAGAUGGGGAGGGGAGCAUGUGGCCUUGGGGGCUGAAGUUCUAAGAGUCCUCUGCGCAGCGGCGACUUUCAUAGUUCUUCACAGGUCACGUGCAAACGCAGGGGGGUGGCGGUCCUAAGUUGGCAUGCGGUGGAUCUUUAGUCUAUGACGUGUGAAGCUCACAAUCGGUCAUCGUAGCUUCUCAGUGAUCCUGCAGCUUCUCAGUGAUCCUGCGUGAUGCUUAGGCAGAAAGGUGUCAGCAACCUACUCUCUUAUCAGCGUUCUCCCACUGUGCCGCAAGACAAGCUCAGAAACUUUGGUUACUCUGUUUCCCAGUUAACCUUGUAGGUACAGGCACAGUUUCAUCCUAAUGCAGGGAAACUUUAACUCCUUCACCCUACGUUUCACUUCCUUGCUCCUGGAAGUUGUCGCAGCAAAGCUCUGCCGCUGACCAAAUCCACGUCUAUCUUCUCCAGUAGCUCCAAGCACUCAGCCGAUGUCUCAGGGGAAACACAACGAAAUGUUGACCAAAACUGACUCAGGGUCGAGGACUGUACAUGGCACUUUUAACUUUUACAUUGUUCUCAAUUUCAUUCCUUCAACAAUGAGUUCCUUUAACUUUCAUUAAAGCCCGGCAACACCAACCCACGGAACGCAGCGGGUGGGCUCCCCACCGCUUC
rnacentral:lncRNA from 1 species